CCGUAGCUCAACGGAUAGAGCAUCUGACUACGGAUCAGAAGGUUAGGGGUUCGAAUCCCUUCGG
rnacentral:tRNA from 1 species